UACGUAGGGUGCAAGCGUUGUCCGGAAUUAUUGGGCGUAAAGAGCUCGUAGGCGGUCUGUCGCGUCGGCUGUGAAAACUCGGGGCUCAACUCCGAGCUUGCAGUCGAUACGGGCAGGCUAGAGUUCGGCAGGGGGAGACUGGAAUUCCUGGUGUAGCGGUGAAAUGCGUAGAUAUCGGGAGGAACACCAGCGGCGAAGGCGGCCCUCUGGGCCUAUCCUGACGCUGAGACGCGAAGGCCAGGGUAGCGAACGGG
rnacentral:rRNA from 1 species